CACGGGGGGAGCAAGCGUUGUUCGGAAUCACUGGGCGUAAAGGGCGUGUAGGCGGUCAAGUAAGUGGAAUGUGAAACGCCUCGGCUUACCCGAGGACCUGCAUCCCAAACUGCUUGGCUUGAGUAUGGGAGAGGAUGAGGGAAUUCCUGGUGUAGCGGUGAAAUGCGUAGAUAUCAGGAGGAACACCGGUGGCGAAGGCGGGUUGCUGGGCUGACACUGACGCUGAAGCGCGAAAGCUAGGGGAGCGAACGGG
rnacentral:rRNA from 1 species